UGGGGAAUAUUGCACAAUGGGCGCAAGCCUGAUGCAGCCAUGCCGCGUGUGUGAAGAAGGCCUUCGGGUUGUAAAGCACUUUCAGCGGGGAGGAAGGCGAUAAGGUUAAUAACCUUGUCGAUUGACGUUACCCGCAGAAGAAGCACCGGCUAACUCCGUGCCAGCAGCCGCGGUAAUACGGAGGGUGCAAGCGUUAAUCGGAAUUACUGGGCGUAAAGCGCACGCAGGCGGUCUGUCAAGUCGGAUGUGAAAUCCCCGGGCUUAACCUGGGAACUGCAUUCGAAACUGGCAGGCUAGGGUCUUGUAGGGGGGGGUAGAAUUCCCGGUGUAGCGGUGAAAUGCGUAGAGAUCUGGGGGAAUACCGGUGGCGAAGGCGGCCCCCUGGACAAAAACUGACGCUCAGGUUCGAAAGCGGGGGGAGCAAACAGG
rnacentral:rRNA from 1 species